rnacentral:tRNA from 1 species
AAGUAGUGAAGUAAAAAUUUUACAUUUAGUUUCGACCUAAAAUAAAAGACCUAUUCUUCUUACUUU